GAUGAAGAACGCAGUGAAAUGCGAUAAGUAAUGUGAAUUGCAGAAUUCAGUGAAUCAUCGAAUCUUUGAACGCACAUUGCGCCCGUCAGUAUUCUGGCGGGCAUGCCUGUUCGAGCGUCAUUACGCCCCUCAAGUCCCCUGUGGACUUGGUGUUGGGGAUCGGCGAGGCUGGUUUUCCAGCACAGCCGUCCCUUAAAUUAAUUGGCGGUCUCGCCGUGGCCCUCCUCUGCGCAGUAGUAAAACACUCGCAACAGGAGCCCGGCGCGGUCCACUGCCGUAAAACCCCCCAACUUUUUAUAGUUGACCUCGAAUCAGGUAGGACUACCCGCUGAACUUAAGCAUAUCAAUAAGCGAGGA
rnacentral:misc_RNA from 1 species